AUUGAACGCUGACGGCAUGCUUUACACAUGCAAGUCGAACGGUAACAGGGUGCUUGCACCGCUGACGAGUGGCGAACGGGUGAGUAAUGCGUCGGAACGUGCCGAGUAGUGGGGGAUAACGCAGCGAAAGUUGUGCUAAUACCGCAUACGUACUGAGGUAGAAAGUGGGGGACCUUCGGGCCUCACGCUAUUCGAGCGGCCGACGUCUGAUUAGCUAGUAGGUGAGGUAAAGGCUCACCUAGGCGACGAUCAGUAGCGGGUCUGAGAGGAUGAUCGGCCACACUGGGACUGAGACACGGACCAGACGCCUACGGGAGGCAGCAGUGAGGAAUAUUGGACAAUGGGCGCAAGCCUGAUCCAGCCAUGCCGCGUGCAGGAAGACGGUCCUAUGGAUUGUAAACUGCUUUUGUACGGGAAGAAGCACGCCUACGUGUAGGAGCUUGACGGUACCGUAAGAAUAAGGAUCGGCUAACUCCGUGCCAGCAGCCGCCGUAAUAC
rnacentral:rRNA from 1 species